AAAGUGGGCAAGUGAGCAUAUGAGUCUACAGUGGGCAAGUGAGUCAAACGAAUCCCAUGUCAAUCUCUCGCUCACCCUCACCACACAUCCGGUUCCCAUCCCCUUCCCCUCCCGUGCUAUCCACCAUCACCAGCUGAGCUGUGCUGCCACCGGCGCGCCAUGGCGCACGCCUUUCGAUCUCGCGGUUGACAUCUCCCGGAGCAACGGGGCAACCGGCGCCUCUCCCUACGGCAUGGCUGCGCCGUCGUCAUCCUCCCACCCCCACCCCACCACUCUGUGCUGACCCGCUGCGCCGAUCCGGGGGGACAGCGCUCUCGCCGACGAGCGCGCAGUCGGCGGCGUCCUCUGCCCCGCGGCCCCCGUUGCGCGGCGCCAGGUCCUUCGGCUUCUUCUGCUGGCAACGCCCGGCGACGCACGCGCGUCGUGCAGCGCGAGGACAACCUAAGGAAGCCGUGCUAGCCCGGAUGGUCGGAGAUCGGGCAGGAACGGAGGAUUGGAUCUUACCUUCUCACGGUCGGCUCCCCUCCCUCCCUCCGCGUCCUGCAUCGGCAAACCUGUUGGAUUGGUGUUGUCGGUGAAGUUCGUUCCUGGAGAUCUCAAAGGCUAAACCAACGGUGUAGAUAUGACCCUCGAGUGGAACCAUGUCCCAAAAAUCCGCGUCCCUCUUCGAUGUGCUUAUUUUGGACAAUAAGAUAAUCUGGUGUUGUUGCUAUGGCAAAUUCUGGAACUGAUUCCAACGGAUCCCAGUUCUACAUAACCACAAUCAAGACAGGCUGGUUGGACGGGGAG